UUGGGAAUAUUGGUCAAUGGACGGAAGUCUGAACCAGCCAUGCCGCGUGAAGGAAGACGGCCUUCUGGGUUGUAAACUGCUUUUAUCAGGGAAGAAAAAGGUCUUGCGAGACAGAUUGCCGGUACCUGAAGAAUAAGCACCGGCUAACUCCGUGCCAGCAGCCGCGGUAAUACGGAGGGUGCGAGCGUUGUCCGGAUUUAUUGGGUUUAAAGGGUGCGUAGGCGGCUUAUUAAGUCAGUGGUGAAAGGUAUCAGCUUAACUGAUGAAGUGCCAUUGAAACUGAUAGGCUUGAGUACACACGAGGUAGGCGGAAGUUAUGGUGUAGCGGUGAAAUGCAUAGAUACCAUAAAGAACACCAAUAGCGCAGGCAGCUUACUAGACUGAGACUGACGCUGAGGCACGAAAGCGUGGGGAGCGAACAGGAUUAGAUACCCGCGUAGUCC
rnacentral:rRNA from 1 species